rnacentral:lncRNA from 1 species
GACAUACACACGUUAACAUUUCUUUAGCCAUAAUUAUUUAUAUAUAUUUAGUUACAAUCUCAACCAUUAAAUCCAGUCAUUUAUUUAUGAUCCACGGUUCUACCAAGUUUAGCGUAGUCGAAGAAGAAAACUUUAUCAUGGGGAAAAAAAGAACCUCACUUUUCUCUCUUUUUUCUCACCCUUCUAUCUUUUCCAACUUUCUCAAAACUUCAGAAUCUAGUUUUGCUACCUCUCCGGGGAAGGCGCUCUCACCUUGCUCUUAAUGAAGGCUUGAACUUGCAUGAUGAAGGAGAAGCAAGAGUGAGCAAUUUAUUUUCUUCAGCAACG